rnacentral:SRP_RNA from 1 species
GCUGGGCGUGGUGGCGGGCGCCUGUAAUCCCAGCUACUGGAGAGGCUGAGGUAGGAGAAUUGCUUGAACCCGGGAGGCGGAGGGUGCAGUGAGCUGAGAUGCCACUGCACUCCAGCCUGGGUGACAGAGUAAGAUUCUGUCUUGA